rnacentral:lncRNA from 1 species
AAUGGGAUGAAAAAAAAAAAAAAAAAAAAAAAGAAAAGAAAAAGAAAGUGGGAAGUAAGAGCGGCGUUCUUUGCUCCUAUUGGCUGGCAGGCAGUGGGAUACCUAUAUAAGGCGCACGACAGGCAAGUGAGUGACAGUGUUUUCUUCAGAGUGUGGCAAGUUGAUGAAUGUUUGAAGUGGGAAACUGGAAAAAAGCUGUCUGGUCUAAGGAUCAGCUGCUGAAGAAAGAAGAAUCAAGAGGUGGAGCUCCGAGGCAAGAGUGAGCAAGAAGAGGAAGGAAGGAAACUACUGCAGAUGGGCAAAGAGAGAGGCUCCCUGGACAAAAGCAUGUCACGUCACAUGAGAGCAUUGCCGGCAUCUUGGGUGUCCAGGUCAGCUUUGUGCUGGGCGACCUUCCUGCAAUCAGGGCUCAGGUCUUUUGCUGUAGUUGGCCUUUUGCCUUGUUGCUCCUUUGGCUGCCUGGGAAGUGUGGCCGUCUGUAUGGAGGGUGAGAGCCACCUUUCCGCACCCCAGUGGGAAAUGGAGCUCGCUGGACCCCGAGGGCACCCUGUAAGCAGGGUAGUGCCCUUUCCCUGCCACUCUUCCUCCAGCCACUCGGUGUGGUUACCUGCUGGUGACCUGCCAAAGUGACAGCCCUGUGGUUGGGGUGCGUGUUGCACCAUUUGGCCCUUGGCCCCCUGAGAAAGACCCCCUGGCAUGUUGAAGUCUGUGGCCUCCAUGCAGCCUGGGGGUGGGUCAGAGGCUCUUGUCUGCUGCUUGUGGAUCCGGGUUUUUGCCUGGUCAUUGGCUGCGCUGUGUUCUCCUUCCCUCCUAGAAAGCUGUACCUGUGUGUAAGAGUUCCCAUUCCUUUCCUUGUUUGCGUGGGUGACAGCAAUUGAGCUUUCCUUUUAGGCCUCCCUGAAAACAGAUGCUGCUUAGCUUUGACUUUCCAGGGGGGAAUGGAGGACUUGAUGCAUCAAGUCAGUGGGGUGUUCCUGCUCAAUCCUGUGAGUGGAGUGAGUGUCCUCUUGUCUCGCCCCUCUCUGGAUGCUGCAGCACCAGUUCUCACAUAUUGGAACACAGAGAUGUUCACCAGUUGAAGAUUGUUUGUUGCUUGACAGUGAAAUUCUACCUUCUUGUGCGCUUUCCUACUACUUGGAAAAGGGAAAGAAAAAAAGAGAAGAAAGAAAAGAAAAAAGUAGAAAAAAGAAGAAAAAAGCCUCAAACACAGAAGGAGGGACUUAAAUCUGACUGGAAUAUGUCCUGAUGCUGAACGUCACAUAACUUUGAAGGAUGAGCCAUGCGUGAUGUAUACUUCAAUUCAUGCAUUAUGAAAAUGGCACAUGGCUUACUUUUAAUUUGUCAGAAAUUACAGACUGAAGUUUAAGGAUGUAAAACUAGGAAUAUUAGAAUUUAAUUGUUGUUAUUAAAUAGUAUCUACCUUCUAAGAAAUAAAAGUUUGAGUCAAUUUUGUAUCCUAUUCA